GAGGGCAGAGCUCAGUGGUAGAGCGUGAGCUUAGCAUGCACGAGGUCUUGGGUUCAAUUCCUGGUACUUCCA
rnacentral:tRNA from 1 species